GACAGAGGGUGCAAGCGUUGUUCGGAAUCAUUGGGCGUAAAGGGCGCGUAGGCGGCUUUGUAAGUCGAAUGUGAAAUCCCCUGGCUCAACCAGGGAAGUGCAUCCGAAACUGCAUUGCUUGAGUGUCAGAGAGGGUAGGGGAAUUCCCAGUGUAGAGGUGAAAUUCGUAGAUAUUGGGAGGAACACCGGUGGCGAAGGCGCCUACCUGGCUGACUACUGACGCUGAGGCGCGAAAGCGUGGGGAGCAAACAGG
rnacentral:rRNA from 1 species